rnacentral:rRNA from 1 species
GACAGAGGGGGCAAGCGUUGCUCGGAAUCACUGGGCGUAAAGGGCGCGUAGGCGGCGCAACAAGUCACUUGUGAAAUCUCCGGGCUUAACCCGGAGCGGCCAAGUGAUACUGUCGUGCUAGAGUGCGGAAGGGGCUACUGGAAUUCUCGGUGUAGCGGUGAAAUGCGUAGAUAUCGAGAGGAACACCUGCGGCGAAGGCGGGUAGCUGGGCCGACACUGACGCUGAGGCGCGAAAGCCAGGGGAGCGAACGGG